rnacentral:lncRNA from 1 species
GCAGGCCAUCAGCAGCCUCCGCCGCCCGCGCCGCCGGAAGCACAGGCGGGGCGCCGGGCCCGGGCGGCCUUGGAUGUGCGCAGGCGCAGGCCAAGCCUGUUGGGGGAAGACAGGGGCGGUCGGAGGUUCUGCGGCCCGCGGCUGCCCUCUCGUGGCACUUGGGCGCUACGGCAUGGGCGCUUCCGCCCAACCCCGGGAGCCCAGCCAAGCGCUGUGUUUUUCCAGGUCCGCGCAGGGCCAGGGGAACCCUGCGUGUUUGUUUGAUGGGAAUGGAUUACUGGAAAGCUAGACGGAAGGUACCCUGUAAACCGGCAGCUCCCAACUCCAUCCCAUUGAUGGAUAUCAUCCAGUGCCACCAGAGGGGCUGUGAGUGCCUGGAUUUUUGGUGGGAGGACAACAACUUCAGGAACAGGAACCAACAAAGGUCUCCCACUUUUGCAGAAGUCAUGCAUUGCGUUAGAGGCUAUUUCCUUUCUCUAGGCUCUGAACAUUUGCCCAGGCUGCAGAUGCUGGGAGUUUGCUCUAUGACCCCACCACACUUGUUCUGCUUAGGGUAUCAAAGCUCUUUGUGACCGAGGUUACCGUAAAGAUUUCCUGUGGAGGGAGACACCAGGGACAGAGCAUGCAUCUGGAAGUCUCACAGCGUGGACUCUGUGUGGUGACACUGCAGUUCCAUGUUCUUCAAGAAAUGUCUAGACUGGAUGACCUCAUUGGAGAUCUUCUGGCACAAAGCCCUUUUCACACAGCAAACUGAGACCCAGAGAGGGGAAGUGACUGGCCCAGGUCACUCAGCAAGUUGGUGGCCGAGCUGGAAUUAGAUCUCAGGUCUCCUGACAUCCGGUUCUGUCAUUAAUUACGCACAGUUGUUGAGGACCUACUAUAUGCCAGGCACUCUGCUGGGCACUGGGAUACAGCUGUGAACAAAAUGAAGAGCCUGCAUACAGCUUAGAUGCUCUGGUGUUUAUGUGGGGAGAUGGCUUCUGGAAUCCAAUCGCUGCUACUGACUUAUUGAUGGACAUCAUCCAGUGACCUGGGGAGGCGGUGGGCAGCCCAGCCACAGCCUGUGAUAAGGAGAGACAACCCAGCAUCCGCCCUGCAGUGAAUAAUAGAACAAAAAGCUGCCGGCGCCUGCAGGAUCAAAGCGCAGGGGUGGUGGUGUCUCUGGGUUAAAUACAUCAGCAGAGGGGGCUGGAGCAG